UCGCGUGGGAACGAGAAGACACUCGUGG
rnacentral:piRNA from 1 species